rnacentral:rRNA from 1 species
UACGAAGGGGGCUAGCGUUGCUCGGAAUUACUGGGCGUAAAGCGCACGUAGGCGGAUUGUUAAGUCGGGGGUGAAAUCCUGGAGCUCAACUCCAGAACUGCCUUCGAUACUGGCGAUCUCGAGUUCGGGAGAGGUGAGUGGAACUGCGAGUGUAGAGGUGAAAUUCGUAGAUAUUCGCAAGAACACCAGUGGCGAAGGCGGCUCACUGGCCCGAUACUGACGCUGAUGAGCGAAAGCUAGGGGAGCAAACGGG